UACGUAGGUGGCAAGCGUUUGUCCGGAUUUACUGGGCGUAAAGAGCGCGCAGGCGGUCGUUCAAGUCGAGUGCUGAAAGCCCCCGGCUCAACGUGGGGAGGGUCACUCGAUACUGAUCGACUCGAAGGCAGAAGAGGGAAGCGGAAUUCCCGGUGUAGUGGUGAAAUGCGGUAGAUAUCGGGAGGAACACCAGUGGCGAAGGCGGCUUUCUGGUCUGCUC
rnacentral:rRNA from 1 species